UACGGGGGGGGGCAAGCGUUGUUCGGAAUUACUGGGCGUAAAGGGCUCGUAGGCGGCCCACUAAGUCCGACGUGAAAUCCCCAGGCUUAACUUGGGAACUGCGUCGGAUACUGGUGGGCUUGAAUCCGGGAGAGGGAUGCGGAAUUCCAGGUGUAGCGGUGAAAUGCGUAGAUAUCUGGAGGAACACCGGUGGCGAAGGCGGCAUCCUGGACCGGCAUUGACGCUGAGUGAGCGAAAGCCAGGGGAGCAAACGGG
rnacentral:rRNA from 1 species